rnacentral:rRNA from 1 species
AUUGAACGCUGGCGGCAGGCUUAACACAUGCAAGUCGCACGAGUGGCGGACGGGUGAGUAAUGCUUGGGAAUCUAGCUCAUGGAGGGGGAUAACUACGGGAAACUGUAGCUAAUACCGCGUACUAUAGGAUGAGCCCAAGUGGGUUUAGGUAGUUGGUGAGGUAAAGGCUCACCAAGAACACGAUCUAUAGCUGGUCGGAGAGGACGACCCGCCACACUGGGACUGAGACACGGCCCAGACUCCUACGAGAGGCAGCAGUGGGGAAUAUUGGGAAAUGGGGGCAACCUGACGCAGCCAUGCCGCGUGUAUGAAGAAGGCCUUCGGGUUGUAAAGUUCUUUCGGUAGAGAAGCGUUAACUACAGAAGAAGCACCGGCUAAAUCCGUGCCAGCAGCCGCGGUAAUUC